AUGGCGGCAGCCAGGGCCGAGGCUCCAGGAGCUUGGUGUGUGCCUUGCCUGGUUUCACUUGUUACUGUUCAGGAAUUAGGUAGAAAAGAAAAGCUCACGUGCAAAUUGAUUGGAAUCACCAAAGGGAAUCUAGACAAUUAUGAGGUGGAAUACUUGUGUGACUACAAGGUAGUAAAGGAUAUGGAAUAUUAUCUUGUGAAAUUGGAAAGGAUGGCCAGAUUCUUCAAAUACUUGGGAAACUUUGGAAAAUCUGAAGUGCCCGUUACUGCUUCAGCAAUUCUCUAAUGACAAGCAUAAUUAUUUAUAUCAGGUACUCACAAGUGAAGAAGCUGAAAAAUGGGGAUAGUUACAUGACAACAAGGGAAUCACAUAUCUCUUUGAUCUGGACUAUCAAUCUGAUGAAUUCACAGUGGAUGCGGCUCGAUACGGCAAUGUGUCUCAUUUUGUGAAUCACAGCUGUGACCGAAUCUUCAGGUGUUCAAUGUUUACGCUAAUAACCUCAAUACUUGUCUUCCCCGAAUAGCACUGUUUUCCACGAGAACCAUAAAUGCUGGAGAAGAGCUGACCUUUGAUUAUCAAAAUGAAAGGUUUUGGAGAUACAUCUUCAGAUUCUGUUGACCACAACCCAGCCAAAAAGAGGGUCAGAACUGUAUGUAAAUGUGGAGCUGUGACUUGCAGAAAUUACCUCAACUGAAUUUUCACGUAAUAGAGCUGAUGAUACUUACAAUUUUUUUGCUAAUGUUAACAUUUAAAAAAAUAAAUAUUUGGGACUCUUAUUAUCAAGGUUGUACCUAUGUUAAUUUAAAAUUCAUGUUUCAAGACAUUUGCCAAAUGUAUUACUGAUGCCUAUGAAGAGAGGGUCACUGGGUCUCAUAGACUGAUUUGAAAUCUACAUAUUUAGGUCUUAGAGACCAAACUAAUGGAAGGCAAACUAUUCUCAGCUCAGUAUACGUGUACCUAAGUCUAUGUGAACAGAGAAAUGCCUCCUGAAGUGUUUGAAAGUGUUAAGCUGAUAAUGUAAUUAACAAUUGCUGAGAGAUCAAACAUUCAACCUGUCAUACACCUCAAAUUUGGAGAAGUAGAGUUAAUUUGGGCAAACCUACCAGUUCUGUUUUUGCUACUAUAUUGUCAUUCCUGUUUAAUACUGUACUUAAAUUUGAGACAAAUGGAUGAUACUGAAUUUUAUACUCUAUUUUCUACUUUUUCAUUAAAACAUUGGCAUCUUAAUGAUAUAGAAAUUUAAUAUGUAAAAUUAAAUGUAAA